UACGUAGGGGGCUAGCGUUGUCCGGAAUCAUUGGGCGUAAAGCGCGCGUAGGCGGCCAGAUAAGUCCGGUGUGAAAGUCACAGGCUCAACCUGUGAAUGCCGCUGGAAACUGUCUGGCUAGAGUCCGGAAGGGGCGAGUGGAAUUCCUGGUGUAGCGGUGAAAUGCGCAGAUAUCAGGAGGAACACCAAUGGCGAAGGCAGCUCGCUGGGACGUGACUGACGCUGAGACGCGAAAGCGUGGGGAGCAAACAGG
rnacentral:rRNA from 1 species